GGGGAAGUAGCUCAAAUGGUAGAGCGCCCGAUUCGCAUUCGGGAGGUAGCGGGAUCGAUGCCCGCCUUCUCCA